rnacentral:rRNA from 1 species
UACGUAGGUGGCAAGCGUUGUCCGGAUUCACUGGGCGUAAAGCGCGCGCAGGCGGUCUUCUACGUCUGGGGUGAAAACCCGGGGCUCAACCCCGGGACUGCCUUGGAUACGGGAAGACUUGAGGAUCGGAGAGGCAAGGGGAAUUCCCUGUGUAGCGGUGAAAUGCGUAGAGAUGGGGGAGAACACUCGUGGCGAAGGCGGCCAGCUAGACCAGUUCUGACACUGAGGCGCGACAGCGUGGGGAGCAAACAGG